rnacentral:rRNA from 1 species
AACGAACGCUGGCGGCAUGCCUAACACAUGCAAGUCGAACGAGACCUUCGGGUCUAGUGGCGCACGGGUGCGUAACGCGUGGGAAUCUGCCCUUGGGUUCGGAAUAACAGUUAGAAAUGACUGCUAAUACCGGAUAAUGUCUUCGGACCAAAGAUUUAUCGCCCAGGGAUGAGCCCGCGUAGGAUUAGCUAGUUGGUGAGGUAAAGGCUCACCAAGGCGACGAUCCUUAGCUGGUCUGAGAGGAUGAUCAGCCACACUGGGACUGAGACACGGCCCAGACUCCUACGGGAGGCAGCAGUGGGGAAUA